UACGUAGGGUGCGAGCGUUGUCCGGAAUUACUGGGCGUAAAGAGCUCGUAGGUGGUUUGUCGCGUUGUUCGUGAAAACUCACAGCUCAACUGUGGGCGUGCGGGCGAUACGGGCAGACUGGAGUACUGCAGGGGAGACUGGAAUUCCUGGUGUAGCGGUGGAAUGCGCAGAUAUCAGGAGGAACACCGGUGGCGAAGGCGGCUAUCUGGACAGUGACUGACGCUGAGACGCGAAAGCGUGGGGAGCAAACAGG
rnacentral:rRNA from 1 species